rnacentral:rRNA from 1 species
CCUACGGGGCGCAGCAGUAGGGAAUAUUGCUCAAUGGGGGAAACCCUGAAGCAGCAACGCCGCGUGCAGGAAGACGGCUCUAUGAGUUGUAAACUGCUUUUGUACAAGGGUAAACCUGAAUACGUGUAUUCAGCUGAAAGUACUGUACGAAUAAGGAUCGGCUAACUCCAUGCCAGCAGCCGCGGUAAUACGGAGGAUGCGAGCGUUAUCCGGAUUUAUUGGGUUUAAAGGGUGCGUAGGCGGGCUGUUAAGUCAGCGGUCAAAUGUCGGGGCUCAACCCCGGCCUGCCGUUGAAACUGGCGGCC